rnacentral:rRNA from 1 species
GUGACCUCAAAUCAGGUAGGACUACCCGCUGAACUUAAGCAUAUCAAUAAGCGGAGGAAAAGAAACUAACAAGGAUUCCCCUAGUAACUGCGAGUGAAGCGGGAAAAGCUCAAAUUUAAAAUCUGGCGGUCUUUUGGCUGUCCGAGUUGUAAUCUAGAGAAGUGUUAUCCGCGCUGG